rnacentral:rRNA from 1 species
AUUGAACGCUGGCGGCAUGCUUUACACAUGCAAGUCGAACGGACUUAGGUGCUUGCACCUAGGUUAGUGGCGAACGGGUGAGUAAUGCAUCGGAACGUACCGUGUAAUGGGGGAUAACGCAGCGAAAGUUGUGCUAAUACCGCAUACGAUCUACGGAUGAAAGCAGGGGAUCGCAAGACCUUGCGUUAUACGAGCGGCCGAUGUCGGAUUAGCUAGUUGGUAGGGUAAAGGCCUACCAAGGCAACGAUCCGUAGCGGGUCUGAGAGGAUGAUCCGCCACACUGGGACUGAGACACGGCCCAGACUCCUACGGGAGGCAGCAGUGGGGAAUUUUGGACAAUGGGCGCAAGCCUGAUCCAGCCAUGCCACGUGAGUGAAGAAGGC